AGAGUUUGAUCAUGGCUCAGGAUGAACGCUGGCGGCGUGCUUAACACAUGCAAGUCGAACGGAGCUGUUCCGGACGCCUAGGGCUUCGGCCACGGGCGGAAGGAACGACUUAGUGGCGGACGGGUGAGUAACGCGUGGGCAACCUGCCUUUUUCCGGGGGAUAACACAGGGAAACCUGUGCUAAUACCGCAUAAAGUCAUCUGAGGACAUCCUCUAAUGACCAAAGGAUUUGUCCGGGGAAAGAGGGGCCCGCGUCUGAUUAGCUUGUUGGUGAGGUAACGGCCCACCAAGGCAACGAUCAGUAGCCGAACUGAGAGGUUGAUCGGCCACAUUGGGACUGAGACACGGCCCAGACUCCUACGGGAGGCAGCAGUGGGGAAUAUUGCGCAAUGGGGGAAACCCUGACGCAGCAACGCCGCGUGAAGGAUGAAGGUUUUCGGAUUGUAAACUUCUUUGACAGGGGACGAAGAAUGACGGUACCCUGAAAACAAGUCACGGCUAACUACGUGCCAGCAGCCGCGGUAAUACGUAGGUGACAAGCGUUAUCCGGAUUUACUGGGUGUAAAGGGCGUGUAGGCGGGUCUGCAAGUCAGAUGUGAAAUGCUGGGGCUUAACCCCGGAACUGCAUCUGAAACUGCGGAUCUUGAGUACCGGAGAGGAAAGUGGAAUUCCCAGUGUAGCGGUGAAAUGCGUAGAGAUUGGGAGGAACACCAGUGGCGAAGGCGGCUUUCUGGACGGUAACUGACGCUGAGGCGCGAAAGCGUGGGGAGCAAACAGGAUUAGAUACCCUGGUAGUCCACGCUGUAAACGAUGAAUACUAGGUGUAGGGGGUAUAAAAUCCCUCUGUGCCGCAGCAAACGCAAUAAGUAUUCCACCUGGGGAGUACGACCGCAAGGUUGAAACUCAAAGGAAUUGACGGGGACCCGCACAAGCAGUGGAGUAUGUGGUUUAAUUCGAAGCAACGCGAAGAACCUUACCAAGGCUUGACAUGACAGUGAAUUGCGGUGAAAGCCGUAAGUCUUCGGACACUGCCACAGGUGGUGCAUGGUUGUCGUCAGCUCGUGUCGUGAGAUGUUGGGUUAAGUCCCGCAACGAGCGCAACCCUUGCUGUUAGUUGCCAUCGGGUAAAGCCGGGCACUCUAACGGGACUGCCGGUGAUAAAUCGGAGGAAGGUGGGGACGACGUCAAAUCAUCAUGCCCCUUAUGUCUUGGGCUACACACGUACUACAAUGGCUAUUACAGAAGGAAGCGAAGGCGCAAGCCGGAGCAAAUCCCCAAAGGUAGUCUCAGUUCGGAUUGUGGGCUGCAACCCGCCCGCAUGAAGUCGGAAUUGCUAGUAAUUGCAGGUCAGCAUACUGCAGUGAAUACGUUCCCGGGUCUUGUACACACCGCCCGUCAAACCAUGAGAGUCAGCAACACCCGAAGUCAGUAGCGUAACCGCAAGGAGCGCGCUGCCUAAGGUGGGGUUGAUGAUUGGGGUUAAGUCGUAACAAGGUAGCCGUAUCGGAAGGUGCGGCUGGAACACCUCCUU
rnacentral:rRNA from 1 species